CGACUCCGUGAAGCUGGAUUCGCUAGUAAUCGCGCAUCAGCCACGGCGCGGUGAAUACGUUCCCGGGCCUUGUACACACCACCCGUCAAGCCAUGGGAGCCGGGGGUACCUGAAGUGCGUAACCGCGAGGAGCGCCCUAGGGUAAAACUGGUGACUGGGGCUAAGUCGUAACAAGGUACC
rnacentral:rRNA from 1 species